rnacentral:rRNA from 1 species
UACAGAGGGUGCAAGCGUUAAUCGGAAUUACUGGGCGUAAAGCGUGCGUAGUCGGUUAUUUAAGUCGGAUGUGAAAUCCCCGGGCUCAACCUGGGAAUUGCAUUCGAUACUGGGUAGCUGGAGUUCGGCAGAGGGAAGCGGAAUUUCGGGUGUAGCGGUGAAAUGCGUAGAUAUCCGAAGGAACAUCAGUGGCGAAAGCGGCUUCCUGGACCAGAACUGACGAUCAGGCACGAAAGCGUGGGGAGCAAACAGG